AUUGAACGCUGGCGGCAGGCCUAACACAUGCAAGUCGAGCGGAUGAAGGGAGCUUGCUCCUGGAUUCAGCGGCGGACGGGUGAGUAAUGCCUAGGAAUCUGCCUGGUAGUGGGGGAUAACGUCCUGAAACGGGCGCUAAUACCGCAUACGUCCUGAGGGAGAAAGUGGGGGAUCUUCGGACCUGACGCUAUCGGAUGAGCCGAGGGCGGAUUAGCUAGUUGGUUGGUUAAAGGCCUACCAAGGCGACGAUGGGUAACUGGUCGGAGAGGGUGAUCGGCCACAGUGGGCCUGAGGGAGGGCCCAGAGUCCAACGGGAGGCAGCAGGGGGAAAUAUUGCACAACGGGCGGAAGCGUGAGGCAGCAACGUCGCGUGCGGGAUGACGUUCUUCGGGGGGGAAAGCGCUUUCGCUUAUGACCUGGCGUGUGUGACGUUAAUAAGUAAAGAAGCACCGGCUAACUACGUG
rnacentral:rRNA from 1 species